CCUACGGGUGGCAGCAGUGGGGAAUCUUUCACAAUGGGGGAAACCCUGAUGCAGCGACGCCGCGUGAGUGAAGAAGUCCUUCGUUACGUAAAGUUCUAUCAGCAGGGAAGAAAAUGACGGUACCUGAGUAAUAAGCCCCGGCUAUCUCCGUGCCAGCAGCCGCGGUCAUACGUAGGGGGCAAGCGUUAUCCGGAUUUACUGGGUGUAAAGGGUGCGUAGACGGAGCACCAAGUGUGCAGUAAAAUGCCGCAGCUUAACUGCGGAACUGCUUUGGAAACUGGCGAACUAGAGUGCGGGAGGGGUAAGCGGAAUUCCUAGUGUAGGGGUGAAAUGCGUAGAUAUUAGGAGGAACACCGGUGGCGAAGGCGGCUUACUGGACCGUAACUGACAUUGAGGCUCGAAAGCGUGGGGAGCAAACGGGAUUAGAUACCCCAGUAGUC
rnacentral:rRNA from 1 species